GCCCCGGUAGCUGAGUUGGUAGCGUGCUUGAAUUAUCAGUGCAGGGGUCGUGGGUUCGAUUCCCACCUGUGGUA
rnacentral:tRNA from 1 species